rnacentral:rRNA from 1 species
UACGGGGGGGGCAAGCGUUGUUCGGAAUUACUGGGCGUAAAGGGCUCGUAGGCGGCCAACUAAGUCGGAUGUGAAAUCCCCAGGCUUAACUUGGGAACUGCAUCCGAUACUGGAUGGCUUGAAUCCGGGAGAGGGAUGCGGAAUUCCAGGUGUAGCGGUGAAAUGCGUAGAUAUCUGGAGGAACACCGGUGGCGAAGGCGGCAUCCUGGACCGAGAUUGACGCUGAGGCGCGAAAGCCAGGGGAGCAAACGGG